AAUCUCGAUGGCCAGAAGGGAUUCCUUCCGGUCAUCGAGACCAUACAAUCUCCUCGAUGGCCGGAAGGGAUUCCUUCUGGUCAUCAAGACU
rnacentral:miRNA from 1 species